CCACAUGGCACUUCAUAUAGGUUGUAUUCGCAGGUUAAAACCAUCUAGACACCAUGUCUACAUGGCACCCACCACCCAUCCAGUGAUCAUCUAGACGAGCGCUAUACGAACAUAUACACAAAGAUAAUACUAAUCCAACUAUACUAAGCAUAUAACCAAAGUAGGCAAAAAAUAAUAUAAUCAAGUAGAGAAAAAUCAUAACUAUAGUCUAAACAGAAGUAUAUAUGUAAAGUAAUACAAGAGAGAGAUUACGAGAAAUUACCAAGCAAUGCUCCCAAUAGAUCCAGAAUCCGGUAGAAGUGCCUCCUCUCUGCUACUAAUCUAUGUAACUAGGCUCUAGACUUGGUGGAGCUCUAAGGAGACUAGGGUUUCUAGCUCUAAUAACUUGAAUAAAAUGACUUGGUGCUUCUUUCCAGGGGGAGAGGCUUAGUUUAUAUAUAGACUGGUGGAGUGAACUAUAGCCCUUGGAUCAAAUCGACUUGAAUGGAUGGAGAAGAUCAAUCCUUGGAGGCGGUGGAGGAUUGUGGCAGAAGGGCGCUGAUAGGUGGGCCCUGCCCUGGGGGCCAGGGUGGCUGACCUAGCUCUAUUCCAAGUAGGCCUCGCCUUUGCUGACGUGUCUUCUAGAUUUUCUCCAUUUAGUUUUGGCAGAAAAAUUCCUUUUUAGCCUGAUGUUCUUCAUAUCUCGUCCGUAUUUCCUAACACACCCCUGCAAAACACAGACUCUACAAAAACUAUGGAAUUCUAUUAGAUAACCCCCCUAUACUAUGUUGAUAUUAUGUUAUAUUGAUUCUUUUUAUGAUUGAUUGAUGGGUUGCUUUAUGGUAGUUAAGAACCGUCGACAAUGGGUUGUGUGAUUCUGCCUCAUACCCCAGUGUUAGCAUCAUGGUUUGGAGAUCGUGAGGUGGUAGGUUUUCUCUCGCUCGGGCAUGACCCUAAUCAGCUGUUUUAGCUGACGUCGAUGGUUUCAUAUAUACAACUCAUCUUACAAGACCGCUAAAGUAAAGAUAAAUUGAAAGAUAUGUUAGCCCCAUGACCUUAUUAUUGUAUUACAGCUUGCAUGAUUCUACCUCAUGCCCCACUAAUAUAAAUGGUAAGUUAGAGUCGUCGAGUCUAUUGUUAUCUACGGCCUGCAUGAUUCUACCACUAGUACAGAGAAGGGCUUUAGCCCCGGGCCGUAAGCGCCUUUAGUCCCGGCUACGGAACCGGGGCUAAGGUUUCGGGACUAAAUGUCCCACCUUUAGUCCCGGUUCCGUGGACCGGGACUAAAGGUCAACCUUUAGUCCCGGUUGGUAACAGCAACCGGGACUAAAAGGUGCGCUAGGGUGUGCCACCUGGCCUCCACUUUUAGUCUCGGUUUUUGCUACCAACCGGGACUAAAGACUUUUUUCUUUUUUCUUUUUUCUUUUUUCUUUUUCUUUUCAUUUGGUUUUCCAUUUAGGGUUUACAAUUAUGUUAUUGUUAUUUUCGAAUGCGUAUUGUUUGCUGGUAGUUUAUGGAACGCGCACCUAUAAUUUAUAUAAUUUAAAGGAUUACAUAUAAAUAUACUAUAAAACACUAUAUAUAUAUAUAAAUAAUAUGUAUCUAUAGGUCCAUAAUAAAAUAUUUACACAUAUGCUUCACGGACAAAGUAUUUACAACACAAUUUAUCUCCACCACUCAAGCAUCGUACAAAUGAUCAUCGUUAUUUGGUUUCAUCUGCUCCUGAGGGUUGAAGUAGCACUCGCCGCCGGAAUCCAGGACUUGGUCGUUAAGAAAUCCUGCGAUUGUCUCCUGAAUUCCUUUUAGGCGCACCGCAUCCAACACCUGCUCCUUCAGCCACAUCUCCUUUAAUAGACAUUAAAGAAAAAAGUUAGAGGUAUGAAUAGGAUUUAUUAAAUAGCAACAAAUAAAUGAAAUAUACUUAUUAUAUAUACAUGUUAUAUACUUUUAGGUGCUCAAGAUUAGUUCUUUUGGCAUACACCGUCAUAAACUCGCACACAUAGUAGCCACACAAAUUGUUCCCCGGUGUCUGCCGUAGAACCCACUGAAGUAAGAUGGGCUUUGAAAGUGAUGCAUUCAACUCUGGACGGUGUUUCUGCACGAACCCAGCCCAAACCCUAGCAAUAAAACGAUCAUUAUUAAUUAUCCAUUACCAAGUUAAAAGAGCAGAAUUUAAUAUAUAGAGAUCGGAGUUACCCUUGGAUAAUAUCUAUCAUUUCUUGGUAAUUAUCCUGUGGUUUUCUCAAUGAGUCAUAGAUUACCAAUUGACAUUGCCAGAGAUCAAUGACAAUUAGUAUCCAAUGAAAGCUGCAUUUGUGUGCAUAUGUAGGCAAAAUUAGUAUAUAUCUUCAUAUUGAUCUGAUUAAUUAGUUAAAUAGAAUGUACACACGAUAACGACACUUACUUAAAGUUGUAGGGAAAGAGUAUAUAUCUUUUAUCUUUUUGGUUGAUCAAGAACCUCCGUAGAUUUCUCUCCGUUUGACUUCUCCAUAAAACAUACGGGGUCUUGUGGUCUUUGAAUACAACAUUUGGAUCCACAAAUCCAAUCUCCUUGUCAUUUCUAACUCUGAGGUCCCUCAUCAUGUUUCUGCAUAUGUAUAGCGGGUUUCUGUAAUUAGUUAUAUAUAUACAUGAUAAGUUACAGAGACAUUAUUGAAAGGAAGAAUCAUUUACAGAUAGAAGCAACUCAUUAGAGAUUUGUCAAGAGCGUCCAUGUGGCAUAGUUGGUGUAGAUCAUUAAAUUAAACAUAAAUAAUAUCAUCACCACGGAAGUAAUGAUAGUUUCUAAUUCGGACACAAAUAUAGUCAUCUGCUUUUCUGGCACACGCUUCCAUGUACCAUUUGUUUAGCAUGUACAUUUGCGUUCCAAGCUUGCUGAGGGCCGCAGGGUUGUAUAAACUCUUGCCAUAUGUAUAUUCCUUCUGCCAAUGAUUAAUUUGUGGAGCACUUUCAAUUGGUGCCCCCGCUAUCUUGGGCUAAGCUAAGACCAGUUUCCGCAAAAAAAAUUUCAAACUCUUCAAUUUUUAAAUCUGUCGGUAUCUGCUGGUCUAGCACGUCAAUGUUUGAACCAUAUUCAUUUCCAAUGACUAGCGGGGGCACUGAUUGCUUUGAUUGUUCCCCAAGCUGUGCUACACCCUUGCGUGCUCUUUUCUCUUUCUUCUUCUCUUCUUCUAUGGAUU
rnacentral:lncRNA from 1 species